rnacentral:rRNA from 1 species
CAGUCGUACGCUUCUUUUUCCACCGGAGCUUGCUCCACCGGAAAAAGAAGAGUGGCGAACGGGUGAGUAACACGUGGGUAACCUGCCCAUCAGAAGGGGAUAACACUUGGAAACAGGUGCUAAUACCGUAUAACAAUCGAAACCGCAUGGUUUUGAUUUGAAAGGCGCUUUCGGGUGUCGCUGAUGGAUGGACCCGCGGUGCAUUAGCUAGUUGGUGAGGUAACGGCUCACCAAGGCCACGAUGCAUAGCCGACCUGAGAGGGUGAUCGGCCACAUUGGGACUGAGACACGGCCCAAACUCCUACGGGAGGCAGCAGUAGGGAAUCUUCGGCAAUGGACGAAAGUCUGACCGAGCAACGCCGCGUGAGUGAAGAAGGUUUUCGGAUCGUAAAACUCUGUUGUUAGAGAAGAACAAGGAUGAGAGUAACUGUUCAUCCCUUGACGGUAUCUAACCAGAAAGCCACGGCUAACUACGUGCCAGCAGCCGCGGUAAUACGUAGGUGGCAAGCGUUGUCCGGAUUUAUUGGGCGUAAAGCGAGCGCAGGCGGUUUCUUAAGUCUGAUGUGAAAGCCCCCGGCUCAACCGGGGAGGGUCAUUGGAAACUGGGAGACUUGAGUGCAGAAGAGGAGAGUGGAAUUCCAUGUGUAGCGGUGAAAUGCGUAGAUAUAUGGAGGAACACCAGUGGCGAAGGCGGCUCUCUGGUCUGUAACUGACGCUGAGGCUCGAAAGCGUGGGGAGCAAACAGGAUUAGAUACCCUGGUAGUCCACGCCGUAAACGAUGAGUGCUAAGUGUUGGAGGGUUUCCGCCCUUCAGUGCUGCAGCUAACGCAUUAAGCACUCCGCCUGGGGAGUACGACCGCAAGGUUGAAACUCAAAGGAAUUGACGGGGGCCCGCACAAGCGGUGGAGCAUGUGGUUUAAUUCGAAGCAACGCGAAGAACCUUACCAGGUCUUGACAUCCUUUGACCACUCUAGAGAUAGAGCUUCCCCUUCGGGGGCAAAGUGACAGGUGGUGCAUGGUUGUCGUCAGCUCGUGUCGUGAGAUGUUGGGUUAAGUCCCGCAACGAGCGCAACCCUUAUUGUUAGUUGCCAUCAUUUAGUUGGGCACUCUAGCAAGACUGCCGGUGACAAACCGGAGGAAGGUGGGGAUGACGUCAAAUCAUCAUGCCCCUUAUGACCUGGGCUACACACGUGCUACAAUGGGAAGUACAACGAGUCGCGAAGUCGCGAGGCUAAGCUAAUCUCUUAAAGCUUCUCUCAGUUCGGAUUGUAGGCUGCAACUCGCCUACAUGAAGCCGGAAUCGCUAGUAAUCGCGGAUCAGCACGCCGCGGUGAAUACGUUCCCGGGCCUUGUACACACCGCCCGUCACACCACGAGAGUUUGUAACACCCGAAGUCGGUGA